GGCAAGAUGAUGCUACUCCAUAUCCUGCUUCAUCCUCUGACAGAGCAAGGCCUGGAGCUUCAUCCAGAAUCCGGGAGCAGUAUUUGGUUUCCUGAUUGCGUGACAGGACUUCUAUAGUAGUUCAUAGUUACUUGAUGUGUCCUUUGACAGUUAAUUGGUUGCUUGUGGUUCUGUUAGUAUUCUGUUAGUAUUCCUUGUAUUCAUAAGUUCACAGAUCUCCUUUGGUAA
rnacentral:lncRNA from 1 species